rnacentral:rRNA from 1 species
GAUGAACGCUGGCGGCGUGCCUAAUACAUGCGAGUCGAGCGAACAGACGAGGAGCUUGCUCCUCUGACGUUAGCGGCGGACGGGUGAGUAACACGUGGAUAACCUACCUAUAAGACUGGGAUAACUUCGGGAAACCGGAGCUAAUACCGGAUAAUAUAUUGAACCGCAUGGUUCAAUAGUGAAAGACGGUUUUGCUGUCACUUAUAGAUGGAUCCGCGCCGCAUUAGCUAGUUGGUAAGGUAACGGCUUACCAAGGCAACGAUGCGUAGCCGACCUGAGAGGGUGAUCGGCCACACUGGAACUGAGACACGGUCCAGACUCCUACGGGAGGCAGCAGUAGGGAAUCUUCCGCAAUGGGCGAAAGCCUGACGGAGCAACGCCGCGUGAGUGAUGAAGGUCUUCGGAUCGUAAAACUCUGUUAUUAGGGGAGAACAAAUGUGUAAGUAACUAUGCACGUCUUGACGGUACCUAAUCAGAAAGCCACGGCUAACUACGUG